UUUUUGGAACCAAUGGAGAUGACAAGGUUUUCUUAGUUAUGAAAACUGCAACUUUCAUCUCUUUUCAAGAAAUGUUUAUUUAACAACAGAGUACAUGCCAAAAAGAAUAAUUUACAGCAGCAAGUCUUAUUACAUUUCCUCUCCAGUUUGUAAUUCUCCCAUAAAAUGUAUUGAUAAAUAUAGUUAUUAAGCAUACUUUCAUUCUUCGGCUUGUAGAUAGAAAUACAGCGUGUGCACAAAAACAGCAACAUCAUCACUGCUAUGCCACAGUUUACGGUUGACAUUUGGGCUUCUUAAGGGAAAAAUAUACUGUACUUGAGCACAUUGAAAUAGAGUACCUAUAAUUAUCAGUACAUUACAUUAUACCUCCUUACUAUUUAAAAAUAUUUACAUCUCAUUUGGCUAAUGUUUAGGUAGCAAAACCAAACUAUUAAACACAUACCAUUGAUAUCACUAAAUACUGCAUAAAACUGGAUCAUAAACUGUUCAUUCACAUGCAAAGCAUUUCUCUCAUGUCUUUUUUUUUCCCCAUACAGUAGUUGCUCCAAGUAGGCCAUGAACUGUACAAUUACUGCUAGGCUAGAUUUUGCACAAUCUCUGCCAAAUGUUUAGUCAAUGGUGGUCAAGAUACAAAUUUCUAAUAAUUAAUGGUUCAUGAUGAAGAUGGUGGAAGACUGUAUUGCCUAAAAGGAUUCAUACAUUUUGAGAGGUGUGUGCUUUCUAUAUUAGACUGCUUAGUUCAUAUACAGCAAUUUAGUUUUCGAACAACUAUUGCACUUUAUAGACAACUGUGCUACAUACCAUCGGUCGAGUGGGUUAUUAAGGAUUUUUGUGCCAGCGUAGAAAUGCUACUAUCAUUGCAAAACAACAUUGUGCUACGGAACCAUUGGAUAGAAGCGUUGUGGUAAGAAAAUAGAAAUAUAGAUAAAAAUAUUCUGAAACAAGUAUAUGUUUUGGAUCCAUAGAGAUAUUAAAAUAUAGAAAUGAUUAAAUAAUUUUUUGGUGCAGAAUAAUUGCAGGAUAAUAGAAUAAACGAGAACCAACAUUGCUAAAUACUCUUUACAAACAUAUAACCAUAGUAUUUUUAUUUAAAAUAUGCCAAGGGCAUGUGAUGGAAGUAUAUUUUAUACUGUAUCAGUCUUGGGAAAAAAAUUGACUGUUGCAGCUACAUAUUGCUAAGCUACUAGCAAAAAGGUUGCAAGACAUGUUUAUUGUUAUUAUGUCAUACUAAGCCGCUUCAGCAUGGAUUUUGAUGAAAAGCAAAGUUGAUCUAUAUUAUCCCCCUUUACAUAUCUAUCUAUAGUUUAACAGAACAAAACAAAUAAACUGUAUUUCUAAAAUAAAGCAAUUAGCACUCUCUGUAAAGGGACACUCUAGACACUAUAACAAUUUUUUCUGAAGUAGUUCCUCCUAGAGUAGUUCCUAGAGUCCCCUGACGCUAUCCAUCCAUUCAUUUUGAAACCAUUGUAAGUGGUUUAACACUGAAUGAGGAUCCAUAAUUUCCUACAGCCCAGUCCCCACUGGAGAUAUGUCUAAGACAGGUAUGUAACUAUCCCUUAGUCAUACCAAUUCAAGUCAGCAAUGGGCGACUAUAAUAGGGAGAGUGAGCAGCCGAUACAUAGUUUACCACCACCACUCAUUGCUUCUCUGCAUAAUGCUUUCUCAGGGUGAAAUGAGCAGCAAUCACAAAGAAACCAAUAACAUUUCUCUAGUUCAGUGCACCCAAAAUAUCAUUUAUUUUGCCUGGAUAACCUCUGCAACCCUCCACAUAUUUCAUAUACAACAUUAUUUGAUUUAGAUCAACAUUUAAAAAAAAAAAAAAUCUAAUAAGGAUAUUAUUUUAAAAGUUACAUUAACUCUAUGCAGCCUAUAUGCUAAAUCAAUUUAUGUCAUAAGCAACUAAAAAAUAAUUUGGAUAAGUAUGCCAUAAGAUACAUGUACAUUCAUUGUAAAACAAUGGAGAAAUUAUUCUAAGGCACAAAAGAAAAAUGAUCAAUGUAAAUAGUAGUAUAAAAGUAUAGAUAGAUUUUCAGCAUUCAUUUAGCUUCCAUAACAAAAAAAAAACCAAACAGUUAGCAUUCAUAUACUACAUAGACUCAUGAAGGAGCGGAUAAUCAGAGGGGCCGGGCAUUAAAAGGGUUUAACCCUUAGUAAGUACUUAUGAUGAGAACAUGUAGUAGCAAUUAAUAUAUCCAAAUUUACACAAGGUGCAAAAAGAGAAAAGUACUUGAGCCGAUUACAUGGAUAUUGUCCCUUUUCAUAAUGCACACAUUAUCCAUAGCUAUAUGCCAAGCAUGAAAUCUCUUAUCAUUGAAUAUGUAAAAGACAAGCUCAUUUAUCACAUUUCAUAUGAAUGGAUAUAAUUGGCGUAGCUUAUUUUUAUAUAGGAUAUGUGGUUUAGGUAAACUGCAAUAUUCGUAAAUUAAGAAUACUUAAUGUUUAUGACAUUGUGGGACUACAUAUAUAUUAUUGAUAAAGAAGAAAAAAACUAAAGACUUGAGCUUUACAUUCUAUGUAUUCCUGCUAAUA
rnacentral:lncRNA from 1 species